rnacentral:rRNA from 1 species
UGAACGCUGGCGGCGUGCCUAAUACAUGCAAGUCGAGCGAACAGAUAAGGAGCUUGCUCCUUUGACGUUAGCGGCGGACGGGUGAGUAACACGUGGGUAACCUACCUAUAAGACUGGGAUAACUUCGGGAAACCGGAGCUAAUACCGGAUAACAUUUGGAACCGCAUGGUUUUAAAGUGAAAGAUGGUUUUGCUAUGACUGAUAGAGGGACCCGCCACGUAUUAGCUGGUUGGUAAGGUAACGGCUUACCAAGGCGACGAGACGUAGCCGACCUGAGAGGGGGAUCGGCCACACUGGAACUGAGACACGGUCCAUGCUCCUGCGGGAGGCAGCAGAAGGGAACCUGCCGCAAUGGUCGAAAGCCUGACGGAGCAACGCCGCGUGAGUGAUGAAGGGUUUCGGCUCGUAAAACUCUGUUAUUAGGGAAGAACAAAUGUGUAAGUAACUGUGCACGUCUUGACGGUACCUAAUCAGAAAGCCACGGCUAACUACGUG